rnacentral:rRNA from 1 species
AAGAUUAAACUGAAGAGUUUGAUCAUGGCUCAGAUUGAACGCUGGCGGCAGGCUUAACACAUGC